UCUAAAACUUAUUGAUCUGCCUAAGUUGAGAAGCAUUUGGACUGAUAACUCAUUGGUGUGGCCGUCAUUAGAGGGCAUUACAAUAGACACGUGCAAAUCUCUGAGGAGUUUGCCCUUCGGCAACCAUAAUGCAGCCAAACUGAGACAUAUUGAAACUCAAAGAGUGUGGUGGAGGCAGCUAUCCUGGCAGGAAGCUGAAGUUGAACAAAGAUUACGACCUAUAUGCAUAUUCAGCCAGUAAUUGGCCCAUUUUAUGACUGCGUCUGUUACUAGAAGGGUCGCAGAGAACCUGAGUCAUAGAGAACCUGAGUUUGCCUUUGCUCACAUAUCUAUCGUUGAAGGAGCUUUUAGCUAGUUGGAGGGCUUAGUUUACUGAGAACUAAGGUCAGUUUACAUAAUUUGUCUUCCAUUUUUGUAUCAUGUAUUAUCAAACAAUUGUAUGUUGUAGUAUUGCGACUUGAGAACUGAGUCAAUUGUCUUCUAGUUUGUAUAAUUAACCAAUUGUUAGACGAAUCAUUUGCUUACAAGCUGAAUGUGUACAUCGAGCCUUUUUCACGGA